rnacentral:pre_miRNA from 1 species
CAACUACUCCCUCUGUCCCAAAUUUCUUGUCUUAGAUUUGUCUAGAUAUGGAUGUAUUUAAUACUAAAAUGUGACUUGAUACAUCUGUAUCUAGACAAAUCUAAGACAAGAAUUUUGGGACGGAGGGAGUACUUU